UUGCCCAAAAGCAUUUAAGUUGGGCCCCCCAUGAGGUUGACUUACUGGCUGGAGUGGCUGGAAUUCCUUUGUUUUGCUCUUCAGAUGCUCUCUUGCUGACCUGUGCUCCCCCUCCAGACUCCAAGCAUCUGCUGCUGAUGCUGGCAUCAAACUGAGCACAUAUUUCUUCUGACCGCAUGGGCACAUGAAGUUUUUCCAGGGUCUAGGGCUGUUCAUUCCAGUGCACCUGCUGCAGCCUUCCAGCCAGUGACCUGGUCUGACCUCAGAUGUGUGAUAGUUGGCUGCAGCCAUGUAACACUGACCAGCCCCUGUGCAGGCUGACCCCCAUCACGACUGCAUGGUGGCUGUUGUGGGAGGCAGACUACAUGACAUCACCUGGUACCUCUAUGCAGAAACAACUAUAUAUUUGGAACAUGAAAACUUUCAAUAAGGAGUGCAGGAAGUAUAUUCUGCAUUCAACAUCUGAAUAUCAACAAACAUCAUCCUCAUCAUCCAAGUUUGGACCUGAAGAAAAUGAGGGGAAUAAA